GACUCUGUAUCUGAGUGGAUAACGCGUUGGCUUUUGGAGCGAAAGGUACUGGGUUCGAGUCCAAGAGUGAAC
rnacentral:tRNA from 1 species